rnacentral:rRNA from 1 species
UACGUAGGGUGCGAGCGUUGCCCGGAUUUAUUGGGCGUAAAGGGCGCGCAGGCGGCCACGCGCGUCCGUUGUGAAAUCGCUCGGCUCAACUGGGCGAGGUCAGCGGAUACGGCGUGGCUGGAGCAAGCUAGGGGGCAAUGGAAUUCCCGGUGUAGUGGUGGAAUGCGUAGAUAUCGGGAGGAACACCCGUGGCGAAGGCGGUUCUCUGGGACGGUACUGACGCUGAGACGCGAAAGCGUGGGGAGCGAACAGG